CUGUAAUCUUGCCUUUUUAAUUUUCUUUGUUUCUUUUUUGUUUCCUGAUUCUUGCUCGCUCCUUGCCUCCCUCCCUCUGCUGGUUGUAACUUGUUCUUUGUUUGUAUUUCCCAGUUUUCUUUAAUAAAUUUACUGUAGGGGCCAAGCCCCUCCAGUUUUCCUAAAAAAAAAAAUUCAGCCAGACUUUUGGGGUCCUCAAAUGAUUUCAAAUGAAGAACACAUCAACUACAAAGUUGUUGUUCUCAUCGAAACCUACAACUUUGGUUCUGGUCGAUGUUUGUAAUACACAAUUUUAAAAACAAAACCAGAUAUACACCAUAUGUGAGUCUUAGAAGUCAAAUCUCACAUAUAACUACAAAUAAGGGGUAAUAUCAAAAGACAAUGCAUAAAUUAUAUAAUAUACAU
rnacentral:lncRNA from 1 species